rnacentral:lncRNA from 1 species
UAUGACAGUGAUUGACUUUAGUGGUUUGGUUACUUGAAUUCGCAUAAUAAGUUGGUUAGGAAUAUGAAAACUAACAACAUUACGAAAAUAAUCACUUUUAGCAUGAUGAAUAGUUAACUAGUCGAUUCCUAAAAUCACAUCAAAUGCAAGUAUUUUCAAAGAGAUGAGAUCGACAGGUAACGUGAGAAAAUCGAUUUGAAUCAAACAAGAUUUAUAAAUAGUGAGGGUAACGAAGGUUUCUCCCAACGGAGUUUCAACAGAUAAGUCAAAGUCUAAUUUCUCUAGAGUUAAAUUUAAACGUUGAGCGCAAGUAGGAGAAAUAA